AACGCGAAGAACCUUACCCAGGCUUGACAUCCUGCGAAUCUUUCCGAAAGGAGAGAGUGCUUUAUUGAGCGCAGUGACAGGUGUUGCAUGGCCGUCGUCAGCUCGUGUCGUGAGAUGUUUGGUUAAGUCCAUCAACGAGCGCAACCCUUAUAGCUAGUUGAAUUUCUCUAGCUAGACUGCCCUGGUAACAGGGAGGAAGGAGGGGAUGAUGUCAGGUCAGUAUUACCCUUACGUCUGGGGCUACAAACACGCUACAAUGGCCGGUACAAAGGGCUGCCAAGUCGCGAGACGGAGCAAAUCCCAUCAAAGCCGGUCCCAGUUCGGAUAGCAGGCUGAAACUCGCCUGCUUGAAGUCGGAAUCGCUAGUAACGGUGAGUCAGCACAUCACCGUGAAUACGUUCCCGGGCCUUGUA
rnacentral:rRNA from 1 species